rnacentral:rRNA from 1 species
GUGUCAGCCGCCGCGGUAAUACGGGGGGUGCAAGCGUUGUUCGGAAUCAUUGGGCGUAAAGAGCGUGUAGGCGGCUUGAUAAGUCAGAUGUGAAAGCCCUGGGCUCAACCUGGGAAGUGCAUUUGAAACUGUCAUGCUUGAGUAGGGGAGAGGGAAGUGGAAUUCCUGGUGUAGAGGUGAAAUUCGUAGAUAUCAGGAGGAACACCGGUGGCGAAGGCGACUUCCUGGCCCUAUACUGACGCUGAGACGCGAGAGCGUGGGUAGCAAACAGGAUUAGAUACCCUGGUAGUCCACGCCGUAAACGAUGUUCACUAGGUGUUGGGGGUAUUGACCCCCUCAGUGCCGCAGCUAACGCAUUAAGUGAACCGCCUGGGGAGUACGGUCGCAAGACUAAAACUCAAAUGAAUUGACGGGG